rnacentral:tRNA from 2 species
AGAAACUUAGGAUAUAUUAAACCAAUAGCCUUCAAAGCUAUUAAAAAGAGCAUAAUCUCUUAGUUUCU